CUGGAGGUAUCAGAAGUGCGAAUGCUGACAUAAGUAACGAUAAAGCGGGUGAAAAGCCCGCUCGCCGGAAGACCAAGGGUUCCUGUCCAACGUUAAUCGGGGCAGGGUGAGUCGACCCCUAAGGCGAGGCCGAAAGGCGUAGUCGAUGGGAAACAGGUUAAUAUUCCUGUACUUGGUGUUACUGCGAAGGGGGGACGGAGAAGGCUAUGUUGGCCGGGCGACGGUUGUCCCGGUUUAAGCGUGUAGGCUGGUUUUCCAGGCAAAUCCGGAAAAUCAAGGCUGAGGCGUGAUGACGAGGCACUACGGUGCUGAAGCAACAAAUGCCCUGCUUCCAGGAAAAGCCUCUAAGCAUCAGGUAACAUCAAAUCGUACCCCAAACCGACACAGGUGGUCAGGUAGAGAAUACCAAGGCGCUUGAGAGAACUCGGGUGAAGGAACUAGGCAAAAUGGUGCCGUAACUUCGGGAGAAGGCACGCUGAUAUGUAGGUGAAGUCCCUCGCGGAUGGAGCUGAAAUCAGUCGAAGAUACCAGCUGGCUGCAACUGUUUAUUAAAAACACAGCACUGUGCAAACACGAAAGUGGACGUAUACGGUGUGACGCCUGCCCGGUGCCGGAAGGUUAAUUGAUGGGGUCAGCGCAAGCGAAGCUCUUGAUCGAAGCCCCGGUAAACGGCGGCCGUAACUAUAACGGUCCUAAGGUAGCGAAAUUCCUUGUCGGGUAAGUUCCGACCUGCACGAAUGGCGUAAUGAUGGCCAGGCUGUCUCCACCCGAGACUCAGUGAAAUUGAACUCGCUGUGAAGAUGCAGUGUACCCGCGGCAAGACGGAAAGACCCCGUGAACCUUUACUAUAGCUUGACACUGAACAUUGAGCCUUGAUGUGUAGGAUAGGUGGGAGGCUUUGAAGUGUGGACGCCAGUCUGCAUGGAGCCGACCUUGAAAUACCACCCUUUAAUGUUUGAUGUUCUAACGUGGACCCGUGAUCCGGGUUGCGGACAGUGUCUGGUGGGUAGUUUGACUGGGGCGGUCUCCUCCUAAAGAGUAACGGAGGAGCACGAAGGUUGGCUAAUCCUGGUCGGACAUCAGGAGGUUAGUGCAAUGGCAUAAGCCAGCUUGACUGCGAGCGUGACGGCGCGAGCAGGUGCGAAAGCAGGUCAUAGUGAUCCGGUGGUUCUGAAUGGAAGGGCCAUCGCUCAACGGAUAAAAGGUACUCCGGGGAUAACAGGCUGAUACCGCCCAAGAGUUCAUAUCGACGGCGGUGUUUGGCACCUCGAUGUCGGCUCAUCACAUCCUGGGGCUGAAGUAGGUCCCAAGGGUAUGGCUGUUCGCCAUUUAAAGUGGUACGCGAGCUGGGUUUAGAACGUCGUGAGACAGUUCGGUCCCUAUCUGCCGUGGGCGCUGGAGAACUGAGGGGGGCUGCUCCUAGUACGAGAGGACCGGAGUGGACGCAUCACUGGUGUUCGGGUUGUCAUGCCAAUGGCACUGCCCGGUAGCUAAAUGCGGAAGAGAUAAGUGCUGAAAGCAUCUAAGCACGAAACUUGCCCCGAGAUGAGUUCUCCCUGACUCCUUGAGAGUCCUGAAGGAACGUUGAAGACGACGACGUUGAUAGGCCGGGUGUGUAAGCGCAGCGAUGCGUUGAGCUAACCGGUACUAAUGAACCGUGAGG
rnacentral:rRNA from 1 species